GAUGAACGCUGGCGGCGUGCUUAACACAUGCAAGUCGAACGAAACACUUUAUUUGAUUUCCUUCGGGACUGAUUAUUUUGUGACUGAGUGGCGGACGGGUCAGUAACUCGUGGUUAACCUGCCUUGUACAGGGGGAUCACAGUUGGAAACGGCUGCUAAUACCGCAUAGGCGCCCAGCAUCGCUUGAUGCAGUGUGGAAAACUCGGGUGGGAUAAGAUGGACCCGCGUUGGAUUAGCUAGUCGGUGAGGUAACGGCCCACCAAGGCGACGAUCCAUAGCCGAGCUGAGAGGGUGACCGGCCACAUUGGGGCUGAGACACGGCCCAAACUCCUACGGGAGGGAGCAGAGGGGAAUAUUGCACAAUGGGCGAAAGCCUGAUGCAGCGACGCCGGGUGAGCGAAGAAGUAUUUCGGUAUGUAAAGCUCUAUCAGCAGGGAAGAUAAUGACGGUACCUGACUAAGAAGCACCGGCUAAAUACGUG
rnacentral:rRNA from 1 species